rnacentral:rRNA from 1 species
GUGCCUGAAGUCAAGCAAGAUUACCCGCUGAACUUAAGCAUAUUACUAAGCGGAGGAAAAGAAACUAACAAGGAUUGCCCUAGUAACGGCGAGUGAACCGGCAUCAGCCCAGACUGGAAAUCGCUUCGGCGAGUUGUACAGUUGAGACAUAGACCUUACACAGCGGAGCAGGUGUAACUCAGUUGGAACGCUGGACCGUAGAG